rnacentral:rRNA from 1 species
CACCAUCUUUAAUAGGAUGGUACGUAUGCGUGAAUACAUAGCGUAUACGAGGCAGACCCGGAGAACUGAAACAUCUAAGUAUCCGGAGGAAGAGAAAGAAAAAUCGAUUCCCUGAGUAGCGGCGAGCGAAACGGGAAAAGCCCAAACCAGGAAGCUUGCUUCCUGGGGUUGUAGGACACUCUAUACGGAGUUACAAAGGAAUGAGUUAGGYGAAGCGACCUGGAAAGGUCYGCCAGAGUGGGUAAAAGCCCCGUAGCCGAAAGUUCAUUCYCUCCAGAGUGGAUCCUGAGUACGGCGGAACACGUGAAAUUCCGUCGGAAUCCGGGAGGACCAUCUCCCAAGGCUAAAUACUCCCUAGUGACCGAUAGUGAACCAGUACCGUGAGGGAAAGGUGAAAAGCACCCCGGAAGGGGAGUGAAAUAGAUCCUGAAACCGUGUGCCUACAAGUUGUCAGAGCCCGUUAAUGGGUGAUGGCGUGCCUUUUGUAGAAUGAACCGGCGAGUUACGAUUCCAUGCGAGGUUAAGCAGAGAAUGCGGAGCCGCAGCGAAAGCGAGUCUGAAUAGGGCGAAUGAGUAUGGGGUCGUAGACCCGAAACCAGGUGAUCUACCCAUGUCCAGGGUGAAGGUAAGGUAACACUUACUGGAGGCCCGAACCCACGUACGUUGAAAAGUGCGGGGAUGAGGUGUGGGUAGCGGUGAAAUUCCAAUCGAACCUGGAGAUAGCUGGUUCUCUCCGAAAUAGCUUUAGGGCUAGCCUCAAACGUUAGAAUCUCGGAGGUAGAGCACUGUUUGGACUAGGGGCCCAUCCCGGGUUACCGAAUUCAGACAAACUCCGAAUGCCGAUGAUUUAUGUUUGGGAGUCAGACUAUGGGUGAUAAGGUCCGUAGUCGAGAGGGAAACAGCCCAGACCGCCAGUUAAGGUCCCAAAGUAUUCGUUAAGUGGAAAAGGAUGUGGCGCUGCCCAGACAACCAGGAUGUUGGCUUAGAAGCAGCCAUCAUUUAAAGAGUGCGUAAUAGCUCACUGGUCGAGUGGCGCUGCGCCGAAAAUGUAUCGGGGCUAAACGAAUCACCGAAACUGCGGAUUGACACCUUUGGUGUYAGUGGUAGGAGAGCGUUCCAAGGGCGUUGAAGCUGGACCGGAAGGACUGGUGGAGCGCUUGGAAGUGAGAAUGCCGGUAUGAGUAGCGAAAGAAGGGUGAGAAUCCCUUCCACCGAAUGCCCAAGGUUUCCUGAGGAAAGGCUCGUCCGCUCAGGGUCAGUCGGGACCUAAGUCGAGGCCGAUAGGCGUAGACGAUGGAUAACAGGUUGAUAUUCCUGUACUACCUCCCCACCGUUUGAGUGAUGGGGUGACGCAGAAGGAUAGGGUGAGCGCGCUGUUGGUCAUGCGCGUCUAAGCAGUGAGGUGUGAAACGAGGCAAAUCCCGUUUCUMAUACAUUGAGCUGUGAUGGCAAGGGGUGUAUACCCUGGAGUCCCUGAUUUCACACUGCCAAGAAAAGCCUCUAACGAGGUGGGAGGUWCCCGUACCGCAAACCAACACAGGUAGGCGAGGAGAGAAUCCUAAGGUGAUCGAGAGAACUCUCGUUAAGGAACUCGGCAAAAUGACCCCGUAACUUCGGGAGAAGGGGUGCUCUGGUAGGGUGAAUAGCCCGAGAGAGCCGCAGUGAAUAGGCCCAGGCGACUGUUUAGCAAAAACACAGGUCUCUGCAAAACCGUAAGGUGACGUAUAGGGGCUGACGCCUGCCCGGUGCUGGAAGGUUAAGAGGAGAGGUUAGCGCAAGCGAAGCUUCGAAUUGAAGCCCCAGUAAACGGCGGCCGUAACUAUAACGGUCCUAAGGUAGCGAAAUUCCUUGUCGGGUAAGUUCCGACCCGCACGAAAGGCGUAACGAUCUGGGCACUGUCUCAACGAGAGACUCGGUGAAAUUAUAAUAUGCGUGAAGAUGCGCAUUACCCGCGACAGGACGGAAAGACCCCGUGGAGCUUUACUGUAGCCUGAUAUUGAAUUCCGGUGCAGCCUGUACAGGAUAGGUAGGAGCCUAAGAGACUGGAGCGCUAGCUUCAGAGGAGGCAAUGGUGGGAUACUACCCUGGCUGUAUUGGACUUCUAACCCUUGCCCGUGAUCCGGGCAGGAGACAGUGUCAGGCGGAC